UGGGGAAUAUUGCACAAUGGGCGCAAGCCCGAUGCAGCCAUGCCGCGUGUAUGAAGAAGGCUUUCGGGUUGUAAAGUACUUUCAGGCGGGAGGAAGGUGUUAAGGUUAAUAACCUUGGCAAUUGACGUUACCGACAGAAGAAGCACUGGCUAACUCCGUGCCAGCAGCCGCGGUAAUACGGAGGGUGCAAGCGUUAAUCGGAAUUACUGGGCGUAAAGCGCACGCAGGCGGUUGAUUGAGUCAGAUGUGAAAUCCCCGGGCUUAACCCGGGAAUUGCAUCUGAUACUGGUCAGCUAGAGUCUUGUAGAGGGCGGUAGAAUUCCAUGUGUAGCGGUGAAAUGCGUAGAGAUGUGGAGGAAUACCGGUGGCGAAGGCGGCCCCCUGGACAAAAACUGACGCUCAGGUUCGAAAGAGUGAGGAGCAAACAGG
rnacentral:rRNA from 1 species